rnacentral:rRNA from 1 species
UGGGUUUAAUACCGCAUGUGCUCUUCGGAGUAAAGCUGGCUUCGGCUGGUGCUUUGAGAUAGGCUCGCGUCCUAUCAGCUAGUUGGUGAGGUAACGGCUCACCAAGGCGACGACGGGUAGUUGGUCUGAGAGGACGAUCAGCAACACUGGAACUGAGACACGGUCCAGACACCUACGGGUGGCAGCAGUCGAGAAUCAUUCACAAUGGGGGCAACCCUGAUGGUGCAACGCCGCGUGGAGGAUGAAGGCCCUAGGGUCGUAAACUCCUGUCAUAUGAGAGUAAGACAUAUUAGUUAA